rnacentral:rRNA from 1 species
UACGUAGGGUGCGAGCGUUGUCCGGAAUUAUUGGGCGUAAAGAGCUCGUAGGCGGUCUGUCGCGUCGAUCGUGAAAACUUGGGGCUUAACCCUGAGCUUGCGGUCGAUACGGGCAUGACUGGAGUUCGGCAGGGGAGACUGGAAUUCCUGGUGUAGCGGUGAAAUGCGUAGAUAUCGGGAGGAACACCAGUGGCGGAAGGCGGCUUUCUGGCCUGUUCUUGACGCUGAGGCGGCGGAAAAGCUAGGGGAGCCAAACGGGGAU